AUUGAACGCUGGCGGCAGGCCUAACACAUGCAAGUCGAGCGGAUGAAGGGAGCUUGCUCCUGGAUUCAGCGGCGGACGGGUGAGGAAUGCCUAGGAAUCUGCCUGGUAGUGGGGGAUAACGUCCGGAAACGGGCGCUAAUACUGCAUACGUCCUGAGGGAGAAAGUGGGGGAUCUUCGGACCGAAUGCUAUCAGAUGAGCCUAGGUCGGUCUAGCUAGUUGGUGGGGUAACGGCCUAGCAAGGCGACUAUCCGGAACUGGUCUGAAGGGGUGGUCACUCACACUGGAACUGAGGCACGGUCCAGACUCCUACGGGGGGCAGCAGUGGAGAAUAUUGCACGAUGGGCGAGUGCCUGAUACAGCCCUGCCGCGUGUGUGCAGAAGGUCUUCGGAUUGUAAAGCACUUUAAGUUGGGGGGAAGGACAGUAAGUUAAUACCUUGCUGUUUUGACGUUACCAACAGAAUAAGCACCGGCUAACUUCGUG
rnacentral:rRNA from 1 species